AAUAUAAUCUCCACAAUUCAAGCAGUAGUAGUUGAAUAGCAAUUUGAAUGACAUUAUCUGCAGAGAUAAAGCAUAUUUCUCACAGAAUUUAUAUUUUCUUACAGCAUUUUUCAUAAAAGGCAAAUCUUUAUACGUGUGGUAUUAUAUAUUGUUGUUUGCUUUUGCCUCCUUGGGACUUUAACUCUUAUUUAGAAUUCUGUUUCCUGGAUACAACAUGAAUCCUUUCCUUUGAUGUGUUAUCUUGUAUCUUAAUGACCUUCAUUUAUAUAUUGCUCAUGUCUUGAGCACAUACUUAUACUACUGUUUUUAGGAGAGAAUUCGAAUUGGCAAGG
rnacentral:misc_RNA from 1 species